rnacentral:lncRNA from 1 species
CUCUGUGUCUCCUCCCUGUCGCCAUGGCGACGCAGGCGGCCAGGCAGCCCCCGGGCUGGGGAAGGGCUUGGUUCCCGCCCUGCCAGCACAGGCCGGCCUGCCAUCUCAGUCAUCCCCCUGCCUCAGCUCUGCCCCUGGGAUUACAGGCCUGGGCGGGUCCCUGCCUGGGGCCCUGAGGCUCAUGAACCCCAGAGCUGAAUCCCUGCAUCCAAACAAAGCCAAGCACCCCCAAACUCGUAACUGUGUGAGGCUGGGGGAUGACCAUGAGUGAGUGUGUGUGAAUAAAAUAAUAAAAUAAAUAAAAUGCAAACACAGCACCAGGGCAGGCGGCCCAGUGUGUGUGUCACAACUGUGUGACUGUGUGAGGCAGGGGGAUGUCUGUGAGUGAUUUUCUGGGGCAGGGUGAUGAUGCUGAUUGAAUGUGUGAGACAGGGGCAUGAAAAUGAGACAGGGGAUGAAGCUGAGUGAAUGUAUGAGGCAGGGGUUUAACUGUGAGUGAGUUUCUGAGGCAGGGGGAUGACAGUGAGUGAAUUUCUGAGGCAGGGGGAUGACUGUGAGUGAUUUUCUGAGGCAGGGGGAUGACUGUAAGUGAUUUUUUGAAGCAGGGAGAUGACAGUGAGUGAAUUUCUGAGGCAGGGGGAUGACUGUGAGUGAUUUUCUGAGGCAGGGGGAUGACUGUAAGUGAUUUUUUGAAGCAGGGAGAUGACUGUGAGUGAUUUUCUGAGGCAGGGGGAUGACUGUGAGUGAUUUCUGCUGAUUGAAUGUGUGAGGCAGGGGCAUGAAAAUGAGGCAGGAGAUGAAGCUGAGUGAAUGUAUGAAGCAGGGGUUAACUGAGUGAGUUUCUGAGGCAGGGGGAUGACUUUUAGUGUGUUUCUGAGGUAGGGGUUUGAUGCUGAGUGACUGUGUGACACAGGAGAUUGACCCUGAGAGGCUGUAUGAGGCAGGGGGAUGUUAGUGAGUUUCUCUGUGAGGCAGGGGGAUGACAGUGAGUGAUUUUCUGAGGCAGGGGGAUGAAGCAGAGUAACUGUGGGGCAGGGGGAUGUGGCUGUGUGACUGUGGGAUGCAGGGGAAUGACUGUGUGUGAUUUUCUGAGGCAGAGGGCUGACUGUAAGUGAUUUUCUGAGGCAGGGGGAUGACUGUGAGUGAAUUUCUGAGGCAGGGGGAUCGCUGUGAGUGAUUUUCUGAGGCAGGAGCAUGAUGCUGAGUGAGUGUCUGAGGCAUAGGGAUGACAGUGAGUGAUUUUCUGACACAGGGGGAUGAAGCAGAGUAACUGUGAGGCAGGGGGAUGUGGCUGUGUGACUGUGUGAGGCAGGGGGAUGAAUGUGUGUGAUUUUCUGAGGCAGAGGGUUGACAGUGAGUGAUUUUCUGAAUCAUGGAGAUGACAGUGAGUGAUUUUCUGAGGCAGGGGGAUGACUGUGAGUGAUUUUCUGAGGCAGGGGGAUGAAGCAGAGUAACUGUGGGGCAGGGGGAUGUGGCUGUGUGACUGUGGUAUGCAGGGGAAUGACUGUGUGAUUUUCUGAGGCAGAGGGAUGACAGUGAGUGAUUUUCUGAGGCAGAGGGCUGACUGUGAGUGAAUUUCUGAAGCAGGUUGCUCACUGUGAGUGAUUUUCUGGGGCGGGGGGAUCACUGUGAGUGAAUGUAUGAGGCAGGGGGCUGACUGUAAGUGAUUUUCUGAGGCAGGGGGAUGUCUGUGAGUGAUUUUCUGAGGCAGGGGGAUGACUGUGAGUGAAUGUAUGAGGCAGGGGCUGACUGUAAGUGAUUUUCUGAGGCAGGGGGAUGACUGUGUGUGAUUUUCUGAGGCAGUGGGAUGACAGUGAGUGAUUUUCUGACACAGGGGGAUGACUGUGAGUGAUUUUCUGAGGCAGGGGGAUGACUGUGAGUGAUUUUCUGAGGCAGAGGGAUGACAGUGAGUGAUUUUCUGAGGCAGGGGGCUGACUGUAAGUGAUUUUCUGAAGCAGGGGGCUCACUGUGAGUGAUUUUCUGAGGCAGGGGGAUCACUGUGAGUGAAUGUACGAGGCAGGGGAAUGACUGUGUGUGAUUUUCUGAGGCAGGGGGAUGACUGUAAGUGAUUUUCUGAAGCAGGGGGCUCACUGUGAGUGAUUUUCUGAAGCGGGGGGAUCACUGUGAGUCAAUGUAUGAGGCAGGGGGAUGACUGUAAGUGAUUUUCUGAAGCAGGGGGCUCACUGUGAGUGAUUUUCUGAGGCAUGGGGAUCAUGUGAGUGAAUGUAUGAGGCACGGGGCUGACUGUAAGUGAAUUUCUGAGGCAGGGGGCUGACUGUGAGUGAAUUUCUGAGGCAGGGGGAUGACUGUGAGUGAAUUUCUGAGGCAGGGGGAUGAAUGUGAGUGUGUUUCUGAGGCAGGGGAAUGUUGUGAGUGAGUGUGUAAGUCAGGGGGAUGACUGUGAGUGAUUUUCUGGGCCACGGGGAUGACUGUGUUUGAGUCUCUGAGGCAGGGGGCUGACUGUAAGUGAUUUUCUGAAGCAGGGGAAGAGUGUGUUUGAUUUUCUGAGGCAGGGGGAUGGUAGUGAGUUUCCGUGUGAAGCAGGGGGAUGACUGUGAGUGAUUUUCUGAAGCAGGGGGAUGACUGUGAGUGAUUUUCUGAGGCAGGGGGAUCACUGUGAGUGAUUUUCUGAGGCAGGGGGAUGACUGUGAUUCAUUUUAUGAGACAGGGAGAUGACUCCCUGUGACUGUUGAGGCAGGGGCAUUACUGUGAAUGAAUUUCUAAGGCAGAGGGAUGACUGUGUGUGAUUUUCUGAGGCAGUGGGAUGACUGUGAGUGAUUUUCUGAAUCAUGGAGAUGACAGUGAGUGAUUUUCUGAGGCAGGGGGAUGACUGUGAGUGAUUUUCUGAGGCAGGGGGAUGUCUGUGUGUGAUUUUCUGAGGCAGAGGGAUGACAGUGAGUGAUUUUCUGAGGCAGGGGGAUGAAGCAGAGUAACUGUGGGGCAGGGGGAUGUGGCUGUGUGACUGUGGUAUGCAGGGGAAUGACUGUGAGUGAUUUUCUGAGGCAGAGGGAUGACUGUGAGUGAUUUUCUGAGGCAGAGGGCUGACUGUGAGUGAAUUUCUGAAGCAGGGGGCUCACUGUGAGUGAUUUUCUGGGGCGGGGGGAUCACUGUGAGUGAAUGUAUGAGGCAGGGGGCUGACUGUAAGUGAUUUUCUGGGGCAGGGGUAUGUCUGUGAGUGAUUUUCUGAGGCAGGGGGAUGACUGUGAGUGAAUGUAUGAGGCAGGGGCUGACUGUAAGUGAUUUUCUGAGGCAGGGGGAUGACUGUGAGUGAAUGUAUGAGUCAGGGGCUGCUUGUGAGUGAUUUUCUGAGGCAGGGGGCUGACUGUGAGUGAUUUUCUGACACAGGGGGAUGACUGUGAGUGAUUUUCUGAGGCAGGGGGAUGACUGUGAGUGAUUUUCUGAGGCAGAGGGAUGACAGUGAGUGAUUUUCUGAGGCAGGGGGCUGACUGUAAGUGAUUUUCUGAAGCAGGGGGCUCACUGUGAGUGAUUUUCUGAGGCAGGGGGAUGACUGUGAGUGAUUUUCUGAGGCAGGGGGAUGACUGUAAGUGAAUUUCUGAGGCAGGGGGAUGACUGCGAGUGAUUUUCUGAGGCAGGUGGAUCACUGUGGGUGAAUAUAUGAGGCUGGGGGUUGACUGCGAGUGAGUUUCUGAGGCUCCCCUCCCCCCAGGCCGCUGGACGCCUCCAUGACCCCCUGGCGGGAGCGGCUCUGUGUCUCCUCCCUGUCGCCAUGGCGACGCAGGCGGCCAGGCAGCCCCCGGGCUGGGGAAGGGCUUGGUUCCCGCCCUGCCAGCACAGGCUGGCCUGCCAUCUCAGUCAUCCCCCUGCCUCAGCUCUACCUCUGGGAUUACAGGCCUGGGCGGGUCCCUGCCUGGGGCCCUGAGGCUCAUGAACCCCAGAGCUGAAUCCCUGCAUCCAAACAAAGCCAAACACCCCCAAACUCGGAACUGUGUGAGGCGGGGGGAUGACCAUGAGUGAGUGUGUGUGAAUAAAAUAAUAAAAUAAAUAAAAUGCAAACACAGCGCCAGGGCAGGCGGCCCAGUGUGUGUGUCACAGCUGUGUGACUGUGUGAGGCAGGGGGAUGUCUGUGAGUGAUUUUCUGAGGCAGGGUGAUGAUGCUGAUUGAAUGUGUGAGGCAGGGGCAUGAAAAUGAGACAGGGGAUGAAGCUGAGUGAAUGUAUGAGGCAGGGGUUUAACUGUGAGUGAGUUUCUGAGGCAGGGGGAUGACUGUUAGUGUGUUUCUGACGUAGGGGUUUGAUGCUGAGUGGCUGUGUGACACAGGAGAUUGACCCUGAGAGGCUGUGUGAGGCAGGGGGAUGACUGUGAGUGAAUUUCUGAGACAGGGGGAUGACAGUGAGUGAUUUUCUGAGGCAGGGGGAUGACUGUGAGUGACUGUGUGAGGCAGGUGGAUGGCACUGAUUGUGUGUGUGAGGCAAGGGGAUGACUGUCAGUGAAUUUCUGAGGCAGGGGGAUGACUUUGAGUGACUGUGUGAGGCAGGGGGAUGACUGUGAGUGAUUUUCUGAGGCAG